UACGUAGGGUGCGAGCGUUGUCCGGAAUUACUGGGCGUAAAGAGCUCGUAGGUGGUUUGUCGCGUCGUCUGUGAAAUUCCGGGGCUUAACUCCGGGCGUGCAGGCGAUACGGGCAUAACUUGAGUACUGUAGGGGAGACUGGAAUUCCUGGUGUAGCGGUGAAAUGCGCAGAUAUCAGGAGGAACACCAAUGGCGAAGGCAGGUCUCUGGGCAGUUACUGACGCUGAGGAGCGAAAGCAUGGGUAGCGAACAGGAUUAGAUA
rnacentral:rRNA from 1 species